GUGCUCACUUCGGCAGCACAUAUACUAAAAUUGGAACGAUACAGAGAAGAUUAGCAUGGCCCCUGUGCGAGGAUGACAUGCAAAUUCGUGAAGCGUUCCGUAGUUUU
rnacentral:snRNA from 1 species